GGGAAAAAUAAUGGCCUUAACUUAUUGAUUUUAAAUAAAAAUUAGGCUUACCCAUUAAUCAAUAGGUCCAAGGUUCGAAUCCUUGACGGCCCACCA
rnacentral:tRNA from 1 species